rnacentral:rRNA from 1 species
CCUACGGGUGGCAGCAGUGAGGAAUAUUGGUCAAUGGGCGAGAGCCUGAACCAGCCAAGUCGCGUGAGGGAGUACUGCCCUAUGGGUUUUAAACCUCUUUUGUCGGGGAGCAAAAGCCGGACGUGUCCGGCUGUGAGAGUACCCGAAGAAAAAGCAUCGGCUAACUCCGUGCCAGCAGCCGCGUUAAUACGGAGGAUGCGAGCGUUAUCCGGAUUUAUUGGUUUUAAAGGUUGCGCAGGCGGAUUUUUAAGUCAGCGGGAAAAUCGUGGGGCUCAACCCCAUCCAGCCGUUGAAACUGGGGAUCUAGAGUGUGCGAGAGGUAUGCGGAAUGCGUGGUGUAGCGGUGAAAUGCAUAGAUAUCACGCAGAACCCCGAUUGCGAAGGCAGCAUACCGGUGCACAACUGACGCUCAGGCACGAAAGCGUGGGUAGCGAACAGGAUUAGAUACCCUGGUAGUC